rnacentral:rRNA from 1 species
UACAGAGGUCUCAAGCGUUGUUCGGAUUCAUUGGGCGUAAAGGGCUCGUAGGCGGUUUGUCGCGUCGGGAGUGAAAAUCCAGGGCUUAACUCUGGACUGGCUUUCGAUACGGGCAGACUAGAGGUAUGCAGGGGAGAACGGAAUUCCUGGUGUAGCGGUGAAAUGCGCAGAUAUCGGGAAGAACACCCGUGGCGAAGGCGGUUCUCUGGGACGGUACUGACGCUGAGACGCGAAAGCGUGGGGAGCGAACAGG